ACUCCUACGGGAGGCAGCAGUGGGGAAUAUUGCACAAUGGGCGCAAGCCUGAUGCAGCCAUGCCGCGUGUGUGAAGAAGGCCUUCGGUUGUAAAGCACUUUCAGUUGUGAGGAAGGUGGUGUCGUUAAUAGCGGCAUCAUUUGACGUUAGCAACAGAAGAAGCACCGGCUAACUCCGUGCCAGCAGCCGCGGUAAUACGGAGGGUGCGAGCGUUAAUCGGAAUUACUGGGCGUAAAGCGCAUGCAGGUGGUUUGUUAAGUCAGAUGUGAAAGCCCGGGGCUCAACCUCGGAACUGCAUUUGAAACUGGCAGACUAGAGUACUGUAGAGGGGGUAGAAUUUCAGGUGUAGCGGUGAAAUGCGUAGAGAUCUGAAGGAAUACCGGUGGCGAAGGCGGCCCCCUGGACAGAUACUGACACUCAGAUGCGAAAGCGUGGGGAGC
rnacentral:rRNA from 1 species